CAAUUGAGGAACCAACUGGCCAAUAAGGAGGCUAUAGACCUCCCACACCUCAGUUGCAAAGAGGCCUGUCUCGAACACAUGGCAAGAGUUCCCUUUCAUUGCUUUUGUGAGUUCUGUGUGGCUUGCCAAGGAGUGCACAGGCUGCUUCAAGUACUGCUCUGAGCGAUCUUCUGCUCCUUGAUAUACCCUGCAAAUCUUUCAGCGGUUGCAGCCAAAGGUGCAGUACUGACCAUGGAUUCAAGCUCAGGAUGCCCAUCAUCAAUCUCAUACUCAAUAGUUGAUCUUAUCACUGAAGAGCUGGGUCCUUUCACAAUGAUCUCAAACCUGACCAUGCCAGGAAUUCCUAGUGAGCAGCAUGCAAUUAGUUCUCAAUAAUACCAUCACCAACAUCAGAACCCAAAGGGGUUUCAGAAUCUCACCUGGAGGAAAUGUCAGCUCCAAGAUGGUGCCAAGGCCACCAUCACCGCUCACGAGCUCAACCUUCGAGAGGACCUGCGGAAGCAAUUCAGGCAAUAGCUCUGCUGCACGGAGUGUACCGUAGACUUCCCAUAGCUCAGCGGCAGGGACAUCAGUCUCGAAGUCAUGACUCUGGCUUUUCCUCAUCGCCUCUGCCUUCAGUGGUGCUUAUGGAUUGUGAAAUGUGGCAACAAACGAGUUGAAGCAGUUGAGUGUGUGACUGUGAGUGCAGCUGAUUAACUGUAUAUAUAGGGAAGCCAUGGAAUCUCAAAGAUUGGGAUGCUACGGCAUCAACAAGGCAAGUGUUUUUGGCUGGAGUUAUCUUGGCAUUGUUUUGCCAGAAAUAAAGUAGCAUUGGGUGGUUUUCUUUGAAGGCUAAUAAAGUAUUUGAGUGGUUGGCAGGCCUGAAAUAUACUAUUAUUAUACAUUGGCCUGCCUGGAACGAUUGGCAAAAUGAUUCCCCAGAUAAGCCUUUUUUUCUGUACUUACAUUUGGCCUGCCUGUACAAACUUCUCUGAUGUGCGGUCUUGCAAUUAUCUA